UGGUGACCAUAGCGUUGUGGAACCACCCGAUCCCAUCCCGAACUCGGAAGUGAAACGCAACUGCGCCGAUGGUAGUGUGUGCAUACAUGCAAGAGUAGGUCAUCGCC
rnacentral:rRNA from 1 species